GAGAUACGCAGAAAUUGAAUGAAUUGGAAGAGAAGAUGUAAAAAAACAUGUAGGUACCUAUGCAAUUUUGAAGAAAUUAUUAAUAAUGAACCAAAUUGCUUUCAAGUUUUCAGGGCAAGGAAAAAAUAAGCUCUCUUUUAGUGAACUCACAAUUAACAAGGCUACAAUAUGUACCACACGGAAACGUCACAAAAACGCCACAACUGCUGAAAUUUAAAAAAUGGUAGGACCUCAUUAAGCGCAGACAAAAGCAAGAGUGAAUUCUCAUCGAAAAAAACAUGAGGUAUGAUUUUUUUUAUUUUAAUUAAUUAUAUCGCUUUUCAAUGAAUCGGUUAUAGAGCAAAUAAUUAUUAAAUAAAUAUUUCUGUAUAACGAUUGAAAUGUAGCAGAACAUUGUUAUUUCCAUUGACAAUGUAUUUUUAUUUCAUUGUAAGUUGGCAGUGUAUUUUUAUGUUUAAAAAAUUUAUAUUGUGUUUCAAAUCAGGUGAUUUUUUAAAUUUCUGCCCAUGAAGCUUAUGCCAGCAGUUUCAGUUUCACUGCUGACAUAAGCAGUGAAACUGAAAAAAAAGCAGAAAUUAAAAAAAAUCACCCGGUACAAAUUUUCAACGAAUUGGUUCUAGGACAAAUAAUUUUUAAAUGUAUAAAUAUUGCCGCAACGUUUCAAAUACACUUUUAUUUCCAGUGACAAUGUAUUUUUGUAUUUAA